GAUGAAGAACGUAGCGAAAUGCGAUAAGUAAUGUGAAUUGCAGAAUUCAGUGAAUCAUCGAAUCUUUGAACGCACCUUGCGCCCUUUGGCUAUUCUGAAGGGCAUGCCUGUUUGAGUAUCGUGAACACCUCAACUCUCAUGGUCUGCCAUGAUGAGCUUGGACUUUGGGGGUCUUGCUGGCCUACUGUCAGCUCCUCUCAAAUGAAUCAGCUUACCAGUGUUUGGUGGCACCACAGGUGUGAUAACUAUCUACGCUUGUGGUUUUCCACCAUGUAACCUUCAGCAGUGGAGGUUCGCUGGAGCUCACAGAUGUGUCUCUCCUCAGUGAGGACAGCUCUUUGAAUGUUUGAUCUCAAAUCAGGUAGGACUACCCGCUGAACUUAAGCAUAUCAAUAAGCGGAGGA
rnacentral:misc_RNA from 1 species